GAACCAGUCCCUUAACCUUUAGAGCAGUUCUUCCAGGUGAUUAUUCUUGACUGCUCUGUGAACUGAAGACAAGGACGAGAUUCAGAGAAACAGAGAGGUUGCAUCCAUUUCUCAGGGCCCAGACGGUGACACUAAGGAUGAAGACCUAGCUCUGUUAUCCUUCAGGCUUUAUACCCUUCCUGUACUGGUUCCAAUCCAUAGCAAGAAACCACCCUUGAACAGCAGGGGACACUCCUCAAGCAGGACUGGAUUAAUCCAUGGGAGCGAGCAGCUGAGCCGUGAGAAGCCAGAAAGCCUGAUGUGGUCCACCCCUUUCCCUGGAAUCACUCCUUUCCAUGUGGGCUGAAUGCCCACGUGCAGCUGUCUGAUCUCAGGAUUUCUAUCAUCCAGAGUAUUCUCUGGAAGCUCCAGCGGGGUUGGCCCAGCUCCUGGCUUCCUCUCCUGGCAACAGCCUCAGGUCUUUUUGAUGAAUUGAAUGAGAAGUGGAGCCCUCAGGUCCAGUCCUGAUCCUGCAGGUGAGGGGUGAUGGAGGAAGAGGCGGCUCAGGUCAAACACUGACCAUCGACCUAAUGACCACCACUCCAGGGCUCUGCUGGAAAGAAGAGCCCUAGACAGGAUGCCUAAAGUGGGGAGGCGGGGCUG
rnacentral:lncRNA from 1 species